UUCAGAGACAAAAUACGCUAGUUACUUUUCCAAACAUGUUUAUAUUUUAAGACAGGGGAGAAUAGCUCUUCACUGAAGGAAUUGAUGAUAACUUUGGCAUUUCAGGCACGGUGGCAGCUAACGGCUUUCCUGGCGGGACACCCAGCCCUGGGGCUGGUCCAGCACAGGAAUUCUGCUCGUCCUCUCCUGAACUGUGGCAGAUUGUAGGCCACCAGGCUCCUCUGUCUGUGGCGAUGCUCCAGGCAAGAAUACUGGAGUGGGUUGCCAUGCCCUCCUCCAGGGGAUCUUCCUGACCCAGAGAGAAAACCAGCAUCUCUUGCGUCUCCUGCAUUGGCAGUAGCCAUGUACAGGUGUGAGAGUUGGACCAUAAAGAAGGCUGAGCGCCAAAGAAUUGAUGCUUUUGAAUUGUUGUGCUGGAGAAGACACUUGAGGGUCUCUUGGACAGCAAAGGAGAUUAAACCAGUCAAUCCUAAAAGAAAUCAACCCUGAAUAUUCAUUGGAAGGACUGAUGCUGACGCUCCAGUAUUUUGGUCACUUGAUGUGAAGAGCUGACUCACUGGAAAAGACCCUGAUGCUGGAAAAGAUUGAAAGCAAAAGGAAAAGGGGCUGGCAGAGGAUGAGAUGGUUAGAUAUCAUCAGUGACUCAAUGGACAUUAAUUUGAGCAACUCUGGGAUACAGUGAAGGACAGAGGAGCCUGGUAUGCUACAGUCCAUGGGGCUGCAAAAAGUUGGACAUGACUUGGUGACUGAACAACAACAUUACUUGGUGAAGACAGACAAGCAUGUGGAUUCUGGAUUCUGGGCCUGUGUUUCCUCUCCCUUCUUCCACUGUCACUCCAGAAACUGCAGAGCUGAUGGAAAGCACCCCAGAAGGCUGCUGUGGAGGAGAGAGCAAUGCUUUUCCCUCCAAAGUCCAAGGCAGUACUUUCCCCUGGUGGAGGGUCCAGGCCUCAACCCCGGCAGCCAGAAUGGCACCCCAGGGGCCUGACAUGAAGGAGCAAAACCUUGGGUUUUGUAAAACUUGCCCCAGGACUGCCUUUCCUUCCAGGAAACUACUUCAGAGCUCAUCGUGCUGAACUGCUGGUGAAAUGCUUAGGUCUGCCCAGAGAAGAGAGGGAAAGGAGGCCAGAGAGGGUGUCAGUCCAACCUAGAUGCCCCUGGGAGGCUGGCAGCCUGCUCAGCGCAAACCUGCCUCUCUUGCAGGCAUCGCUGUGGCCCCCAGGCCUCUCUGUCAUCGAGGUCCUGCAGCCAGGGCAGAGUUCAGCACCGCUCAGGGCUGGGUUCCAGUCCAGAAGUCAGCUCUGGCAUCCCGGACCUGCUGUGCCCGCCUUGCAGUGUGACCCUCAGUUAGGCAUCUGAGCAGCUCUGGGCUUCAGGUUUCUCUCCCACCUGUAGGACACAUCCUGUUCUCGUGUGGCCCUGUGUGUGGCAUCGCAGCAGACUCUCAUAACCAAGAAGAAACCUAAUUUUUCUGUGUCUUACAUGAAGGAGAUUUAUUUGGUUGCAUGUGAAAGACUCCAGAUAACAGUAACUUGAACACAACCAAAGUUUCUUUCCUUUUGAUGGCAAAGCCUGAAGGAAGGCCCUUGAGGGCAGUGUGAGGGCUCCAGGCCACCAGCUCAGCUGUCCAGAGGUUGUGGUUUUGAGCCUCAAGGUCCAAGGUGAGCUUCUGUUGUCUUGUCCAUGUCCCCAGGGCAGGAUGGAGGAAGAGGAGUAGGGGGGGCAAUGGCGGGUGGGGGAAGGAGAGACAUGACCCCCCCCCCCCCCCCUUAAGGGAUCUUGCCUGAGAAACCACACUCAUCCAUUCAUCACUCUCCACUGGUCAGCAGUCACCCGGCUACAGGAAGGCAGAGAAAUGUGGUCUCAAACCCAAAUAUCAGCAGAUCUAUGGUUGUGAAAGAAAGAGUGAAUGAUUAUUAAAGGGAUGGCAAUGAGCUUUUGACAUUUAUUUUUAUUAACCAUUCUAUAUUGAUUUUUAAACUUGAAAAUACUUGCUUACAACAUAUCAAUCAGUGCAAAGAUACAUACACACACACACACACACACACACACACACACACACACACACAUAUACUUAUGAGAGUAUGUAUAUAUUCUGCUUCUCCCCCCUGCUGCCCCCCCACCGCCCUAUAAACUCUAGGACUUCUUGGUGGCUCAGAUGGUAAAGAAUCCACCUGCAAUGUAGGAGACCCUGGUUCAAUCCCUGGGUUGGGAAGAUCCACUGGAGAAGGGAAUGGCAACCCUGCCUCCUCUCUGGCAACCACAGAAGAGCCUGGUGGGCUACAGUUCAUGGGAUGGCAGAGUCAGACGGACUGAGCAACACUUAAGCUUUCACAUAAACUCCAGGCCCCUGAAGUUGGAUAUAUAUUCUUUCAUGUCUGUCUUGAUUGACAUGUAAAAUAUACAAAUAUACAAACAUAUAAAAACAAAUAUACAAAUAUAUAAAAUAUACAAACCUUUCCCCACAUUUAUUAUAGACAAGGGUGCCCACUCUCACCACUACUAUUCAACAUAGUGUUGGAAGUUUUGGCCACAGCAAUCAGAGCAGAAAAAGAAGUAAAAGGAAUCCAGAUAGGAAAAGAAGAAGUGAAAUUCUCGCUGUUUGCAGAUGACAUGAUCCUCUACAUAGAAAACCCUAAAGACUCUUCCAGAAAAUUACUAGAGCUAAUCAAUGAAUAUAGUAAAGUUGCAGGUGGGAUGCAUGAGACAAGUGCUCGGGCCUGGUGCACUGGGAAGACCCAGAGGGAUUGGGUGGAGAGGGAGGUGGGAGGGGGGAUCGGGAUGGGGAAUACGUGUAACUCUAUGGCUGAUUCAUAUCAAUGUAUGACAAAACCCACUGAAAUGUUGUGAAGUAAUUAGCCUCCAACUAAUAAAAAAAAAAAAAAACUGCCUGUAAAAAAAAAAAAAUGAGAACUGCAUUUUAGAGAUAAAAUAUAUUUUUCCAAAUAUGUAGUUUGCUUGUUUCCAAUACAUAACAAUUUUAUUUUAAUCAUUUUAUUGGAAAUUAUAUGUGGCUCUAACCUGUUCUUUAUAAUAACUGCAUAAUCGCUUAUAGUAUGGAUUUCAUAGUUGAAUGCACUGUAAUUUCUUCUGCCAUUCCCUGAUAGAAUGUAUAGAUUAUUUCCUUUUAUUGUCACUGUAAAUAGUGUUGCAAGAAACAAACUUGUACACUGUCCUCAGGUGUCUUUCUGUAAGAUGUCUGGUGAGAGGGCCUGCAGUGAGUUCCUCUUGCUCACUUCCUGAAGACUCCUGAUUUGCAGGUGGGUGCGGGGCAGGGAGGGGCUGGUCUCAGCCUUCAGCCCGCUUUCACAGACUGGG